rnacentral:rRNA from 1 species
GCGGUUAAAAAGCUCGUAGUUGGAUCUCGGCAAGUAGAGGGCGGUAUGCUUCGUAGCAUUACUGCCCUAUUACUUGUAGUUUUGCCAGAGGUUCCUGGGUGCUCUUAAUCGAGUGUCUAGGGAUGCUGGCAGGUUUACUUUGAAAAAAUUAGAGUGCUCAAAGCAGGCUAUUACGCUUGAAUAUUCGUGCAUGGAAUAAUAGAAUAGGAAGUUGUUUCUAUUUUGUUGGUUUUCGGAAAUCGACUUAAUGAUUAAUAGGGACAGUCGGGGGCAUUUGUAUUCAAACGACAGAGGUGAAAUUCUUGGACCGUUUGAAGACAAACUACUGCGAAAGCAUUUGCCAAGAAUGUUUUCAUUAAUCAAGAACGAAAGUUAGAGGUUCGAAGGCGAUUAGAUACCGCCCUAGUUCUAACCAUAAACGAUGCCAGCUAGCGAUCUGAGGACGUUUUUUUUGUAGACUCCUCAGGAAGCUUCCGGGAAACCAAAGCGUGUGGGUUCCGGGGGAAGUAUGGUUGCAAAGCUGAAACUUAAAGGAAUUGACGGAAGGGCACCACCAGGAGUGGAGCCUGCGGCUUAAUUUGACUCAACACGGGAAAUCUCACCAGGCCCGGACACUGGAAGGAUUGACAGAUUGAGAGCUCUUUCUCGAUUCGGUGGGUGGUGGUGCAU